rnacentral:sRNA from 1 species
GCUGGGCAUGGUGGUGCACACCUGUAAUCCCAGCAACUCAGGAGGCUGAUGCAGGAGGAUAACAAGUUCAAAAUCAGCCGGGGAAAUUCAGUGAGACCCUUUAUCUA